GCGACAUCAUCCAGUAGGCGGGGCUCUCCUUCUGCACUGUGUUCAACCAUUGUGUCAAUAAUAAGUGCUGCUGUGAAGAGAACAAUUCUCAGACUGAAUGUUGAACAUCAGCUAGUUUCUCCUGUUGAUUUAAACCUUGUUGUACAGAUGGAACAUUGGCUGUGGAUUAUUCUUGCUGCUCUUUUCUUUGAGUGUAAAGGAGAAGACAAAGUGAUCCAGGAACAAGGAGAUGUCAUUGCUGCUGAAGGAGACACAGUUACACUUGGCUGUCAGUAUGAGAGCAGUGUAACAAAUAAUUAUCUCUUCUGGUACAAACAGGAUGGAAACAACAGCCCCAAAUUCAUCCUGAGUCGUGUUAGUGGGGAUGAUGGAAACACAGCAGACGAGUUCAAGGAGAGAUUUUCAUCCACACUGGAUUCCAGCAUCAGAUCAGUUCCUCUGAAGAUCCAGAAGCUUCAGCUGUCUGACUCUGCUGUGUACUACUGUGCUCUGCAGCCCACAGUGACAGGAAACAGCAAAACUCUGUACAAAAACCUUUGGAGCAAAGACAACAGAAUACUCCACAACAUCCACUAGAGGGAGCCACACACUGUUAAACCUCUGAUUCUUGUGUCAUUGGACUGAUGACAAAGACAACAGAGAAAUGAAGCAGUAAAGAUCAGAGACAGAGACAGAGCUGCUGUGGAAGCACAAAACUGUUUGAUUGGCUGAGCUAUUAAACUGGCCCCGCCCACUGAAGUUGAGCUCAUCCAAUGACAUUAUUUGUUGGUCAUUGUGCUGCAGUGGAAGAACAUUGUUCAUGUGCUGUCUGUCUGGCUUUAAUAACUCCAAAGACAUGUUGCUGCACCUCUUUUUGCUUCUAUCUCACAUUAUAGGUGAGUUUAAGAACAGGGAUUAAAGUUUAGUUGAAGCUGCUGCAUUAAGCAGAUAUACAGACUGCAUUUCACUACUUUUCUUCUUUCUUUUUCCAGGACUAACAGCUGGAGACUCAAUCACUCCUCAACAACCUGAAGUCACUAAAACAGAAGGAGAAUCUGUCACACUCACAUGUAGCUAUGAGACAGUUAUACACAUCCAGAGCUUCACUGGUACAGACAUGAUUCUGACCUUCAACCUCCUCAGUUUAUACUCUGGAAAGGAGCCAAAGACUACAGUGGUUCUCAAUAUAUUCCUGAUAAACGAUAAAUCAGAAACAUCACCAACAUCAACUAAUCUGACCAUAGCAGCCCUAACCCUGGCAGACACAGCUCUCUACUACUGUGCUCUACAAACACAGUGAUACAAAGUGUAGAAGAGGCUGUACAAAAACCUGAACACAGAUAUCUGACUACUCUUCAAAGAGGAGGGAAGUGGUAUUCAAAGCACAGCUUCAUAUCAGAUGGAUUCUGCUAAUUCCUGUUUUAUCAGAGUCACUGUGGUUACAGCUGCUAAUGAAACACUGUGGGAGGAUUCACAUGAGCAGCAAAUCCACAUCAACCACAAACCAACUGCAGGAACGUUCAGACACAAUAA